rnacentral:rRNA from 1 species
GACGAACCGAGCGAACGUUGUUCGGAAUAACUGGGCUUAAAGGGCGCGUAGGCGGGCCGCCAAGUUCGAGGUGAAAUCCUCCGGCUCAACCGGAGAACUGCCUCGAAUACUGGAGGCCUCGAGGCGGGUAGGGGCACGCGGAACUGUGGGUGGAGCGGUGAAAUGCGUUGAUAUCCACAGGAACUCCGGUGGCGAAGGCGGCGUGCUGGACCCGAUCUGACGCUGAGGCGCGAAAGCCAGGGGAGCAAACGGG